rnacentral:rRNA from 1 species
GAUAAACGCUGGCGGCGUGCCUAAUACAUGCAAGUCGAGCGAACAGACGAGGAGCUUGCUCCUCUGAUGUUAGCGGCGGACGGGUGAGUAACACGUGGAUAACCUACCUAUAAGACUGGGAUAACUUCGGGAAACCGGAGCUAAUACCGGAUAACAUGUUGAACCGCAUGGUUCAACAGUGAAAGACGGUCUUGCUGUCACUUAUAGAUGGAUCCGCGCCGCAUUAGCUAGUUGGUAAGGUAACGGCUUACCAAGGCAACGAUGCGUAGCCGACCUGAGAGGGUGGUCGGCCGCCCUGGAGCUGAGACACGGUCCAGGCUCCUACGGGAGGCAGCAGUAGGGAAUCUUCCGCAAUGGGCGAAAGCCUGGCGGAGCAACGCCGCGUGAGUGAAGAAGGUCUUCGGAUCGUAAAACUCUGUUAUUAGGGAAGAACAAAUGUGUAAGUAACUAUGCACGUCUUGACGGUACCUAAUCAGAAAGCCACGGCUAACUACGUG